UCUCAUCCUCUCAGUCUCCCUCUCUCUCUCAUCCUCUCAGUCUCCCUCUCUCUCUCUCUGUUCUUAUAAUCUACCAGAGGAAGUGGGAGUAUUUGUUGCCCUCACUCUUGGUGUAGAGGGAAAGGAGGCAAAAGGAGGUAGGAGCACAUAGCAUGUCUUCAUUAAAGUGUCACCUCCCAUUAUUUGGCUCCUAUCUCAAUUAGCAAUAGCUUUAAUAAUGGGUCUCCAUCUCUCCUUCUCUCUCUCUCUCAUUCUACUCUCUUAUUCCCCCUCUCCUUUCCUCUCUCCCUCCAUGGCGUCUGGAUGCUUGUGGGGAGCGGCGUGAGGCAAGAAAGAGAGCGAAGCAGCACAUCUGUGCUGUUUUCACCAGAGCAGCUCUCCUGCUCUCUCUCUCUCUCUCUCACUCUCUCUCUCCCUCCAUCUCUCUCUCUCUCUCUCUCUCUCUCUCUCUCUCUCUCCCCCCUCUGAGAGCAAUUAGGACGAGCUGCCGGUGGCUGGGCUGCUGGCAGAGGCGCUGGAUCCCCCUAUAAUCACCCGCGCAUCAGAGCCAGCGCUCCGCUACAGCACCGCAGGUCACACAGGGCCCCACGCUACACCACCAGAGACGCCGCGCGCAAUGGAGUGUGCUGAGGAGGAGAGGAGGCAGUGAACACAGGCGAUGACUCUUCUGAGCCAUUAGCCCAUCUCUGUCUGCUCUGCUGUGUGUCUGUCUGGAGGGCUGGACCGCUGCGGCAGACGACCAGCAGCAAGGUGCUGUGGCCACCUGUCCAGCCCAGUGGAGGUCCACGCACGCCACUUCCCCAGAGUGGACUAGGGCCAUGGCGCUGAGAGAGAGAAUGAGACGGAGAGCAUGGCGUUGGGCUCUAUGUGGGUCACAGCUGAGGACCUCCAGGAGGACAAUGGAACAGUGUCAGCCGCCCACAGUGAUGAAUGUGAGGGACCCAAGUCUCUCCUCUCGCGCUCCCUCAGCCCCUACCGCUGCCACCUCCACCAGAACAAAGGAAAGCUGGCCUAUCGUUGCUUGGAAUCUCAAAAAAACAAAGAUGGAGUGGCGUUGUGCGUGAGAAGAACCGAAUGGCCAGCUUGUUGUCGUGGGGUGGGUGUUCGGAGGAGGCGCUGUGAGCUGGCCGGCGGGAAGGGGAUGAGACACAGACGGCCUCUGGACACGGGGUGUGGGCGGUGACUGAUGACCACUCACCAGAGGAGGAUCAACUCUCGGCGGGACUCAAUAAAGACAUGGGGGGGGUGGAGGUGGGGGCACCCUGGGAGCACUCGCCACCUGAACCCACGCUUGUUAGAGUACGGGUGUUUGCAAAGCGUAGGCUGGUGUCAGGGCCCCCAAAACACGAGUGUCAAUACAUUUACAUCAGCCUGUGAUGUGACCUCUCCUCAGGAGACACCGUCCCAAUUGGAAAAUGUCACGAUAAGGGGGCCAGCUACUGGAGCUGUGUUGACAUGAGCGCACUGCAUUUACUGUGAUGUACCUGUCAGGAUUCUGAUUGUAGCUUGCGCUCAGAAAGUUCAUGCAUUGCCAACCCAACGGUCAAAUGACCAAGCCAGGCCUCAAUAUCUGAUGUAAUUCCGCUGAGCCGGAAGAAUCACCGAUUUCUCAAAGUAAAAUAUUCUCAUAAAUUACACUGGAGACAGAUUAUUCUAAAUGCAACUGGAUCAAAGGCUAAAGAUAAAGCCAUGGUAGGGGUCAACAAAAUAAACCUGAAUGCAGAAAGCUAAAACUGAAUAAUGUGUUGCCAAACAAGCCAAACUACUUGUUUACUUUCACACAGGGUGUACUCUUAAUCUUCAUAUGAAGGAGAUCAGCCUGAUAGAGCAAUGGGUUUCAUUAAAGUUUUCCACUGCUUCAUUUACACACUGUUUAAUGGGUGUUGGUAGGGGAUGUUACAUUUUUUAUUUUCUACAGUUUGUAGUCUAUGUAUGCCAUGUUUCCUAAGCUACAUGCCUCAUGCAUCUUACAAUAAUACAACUUAGUAUCUUAAAGUAAUGAGAAAAUCGAGACAGUAUCUUGAAAUUACGAUCUGGAAGUAAUAUUUAGCUGUGUACAGUAUGUAGUCAAUACGUGUGUCAUGUAGUGUAUUCAGUCCUUGUCUUAUUUCAAGAUAAUUAUGUAAUUAGUAAUUACGAUUUACUACCUUGAAAUAAUGAGAUAAUAUUUUGAAAUGACUGCUUUUUAUCUGGAAAUAAGAUGAAAUUUUGAAGGGUGUAUGCUAUUCGUACCCUAGUGCAAUUAGAAGUGAAUGCUAUUCGUACCCCGGUGCACACG